rnacentral:rRNA from 1 species
AACGAACGCUGGCGGCAUGCCUAACACAUGCAAGUCGAACGAGACCUUCGGGUCUAGUGGCGCACGGGUGCGUAACGCGUGGGAACCUGCCCUUAGGUUCGGAAUAACUCCCCGAAAGGGGUGCUAAUACCGGAUAAUGUCUUCGGACCAAAGAUUUAUCGCCUUUGGAUGGGCCCGCGUUGGAUUAGCUAGUUGGUAGGGUAAAAGCCUACCAAGGCGACGAUCCAGAGCUGGUCUGAGAGGAUGAUCAGCCACACUGGAACUGAGACACGGCCCAGACUCCUACGGGAGGCAGCAGUGGGGAAUAUUGGACAAUGGGCGAAAGCCUGAUCCAGCAAUGCCGCGUGAGUGAUGAAGGCCUUAGGGUUGUAAAGCUCUUUUACCCGGGAUGAUAAUGACAGUACCGGGAGAAUAAGCUCCGGCUAACUCCGUG